GGGAAACACUGAGUGGCAUCUCACAGAAAGCCAGAGGGGAGGACGUGGGGCUAUCAGUCCAACUCCUCAGUUAAUAGCCAGGGAAACAGAAGCCCAGGGAGAUAAAGACGGUGGCAGAGGAGGAAUUCUUUCUUAGCAGAUCUUCCAUUCCUAAUCCAGGAUCAUUUCCAGGGCUCCCAGGUUCUCAAGAUGCUUGAAUCCUGGGACAAACACAGAGGAAGGAGCUCCUAAGGAUGGGGGCAGUGGUGAGGAAACAGGCCACUGAGACAGUGAUGGUGUUUGUAGGCAAAGAAGCUACUUGUAUUUGCCAACCACACCAGGAGGCCAGACUCGCCGCAGGGCACAGCACCCUCCAGAAAAACAGGUCACUGAAAAUAAUAUCAGGGGAGGAAGUCAAGAAGGCUGCUGUAUUCAUUCUGCUUUAAUGAGUAGAGAACUCUUACCAAAACAGGAAUAGAAGACAUAGGGUGCAACCAUUUCUCCAGGCUGAAACAGAGCCCCUGAGGAAGGAGCAAAUCUGAAGUUCCCCUGCACCCAGGGCUUUGAUUCAGAUAUUGUUGGAGAGAGCAUUGCAUGGCUCAUGACUCACUAGGUGGUGGAUAAGCUCAUUGAGGAGAAAUCUUUUGCCACAUUUGGAGAAAGGAUUGAAGAGAAAUGAGAGCCUGGAUGUGAAGAAAACAUUAGGAAGCUGCAGCAGUAACCUAUGUGAGAAAUUAAGAGAACCUAAAUCAGAUCCGUUGGCCAUCAAGAUUUCACUCAUUUUGAGACCUAGAGAUUGGUGCUCCUGGAGCUGUGAAAUGCGUGGCCUCUGUAGCCCUGUGAAGGUCUUGUUUCUAUGGCGAUACAAGAGAAAGUCUUUGCAGAGUUGUUGCAGCUGGAAGUCUUCACUUACUUUAAGAGCUCAUUAAAGCUAGUGGAGCCUUCCAAACCUGAAAUGAACUGCUCCUUACAGAACUGCCAAAAGGAAGAAAUAGAAAAGAAAAAAGAAGCAAUAGGUCCAAAAAGUCAAGAGAAGCUAUGCUGUACCCUCAACACUCUGCCUAGAGAUUUCUUCCAUGAAAUAUCCUAGUUCACAUCUGCCUCCUGCAAACUACUAGGACAUGGACACUGCUCAGCCAAGUUCUGUGCCAAUUUGUAACAAGAAUGGCCUUUCCUCCUAUUUCCAAUAAGGCCCCAUCAGCAGAGGGAGGAGAAGAGGAGAAGCAGCUGGACAUCAGAGACUAUGGUUGGACAUUGGAGAGAAGCAGCUUGACUUCAAAGGGACGGCUUG